UACGUAGGGUGCUAGCGUUGUCCGGAAUUAUUGGGCGUAAAGAGCUCGUAGGCGGUCUGUCGCGUCGGAUGUGAAAACACGGGGCUCAACCCCGUGCCUGCAUUCGAUACGGGCAGACUAGAGUUCGGUAGGGGAGACUGGAAUUCCUGGUGUAGCGGUGAAAUGCGCAGAUAUCAGGAGGAACACCGGUGGCGAAGGCGGGUCUCUGGGCCGAUACUGACGCUGAGGAGCGAAAGCGUGGGGAGCGAACAGG
rnacentral:rRNA from 1 species